rnacentral:rRNA from 1 species
CAGUAGCCGCGGGAAAACGGAGGGUGCAAGCGUUAAUCGGAAUUACUGGGCGUAAAGCGCACGCAGGCGGUCUGUCAAGUCAGAUGUGAAAUCCCCGGGCUUAACCUGGGAACUGCAUUUGAAACUGGCAGGCUAGAGUCUUGUAGAGGGGGGUAGAAUUCCAGGUGUAGCGGUGAAAUGCGUAGAGAUCUGGAGGAAUACCGAUGGCGAAGGCAGCCAUCUGGCCUAAUACUGACGCUGAGGUACGAAAGCAUGGGGAGCAAACAGGAUUAGAUACCCCUGUAGUCCCUGUCUCUUAUAC